AACGAACGCUGGCGGCAUGCCUAACACAUGCAAGUCGAACGAGAUCUUCGGGUCUAGUGGCGCACGGGUGCGUAACGCGUGGGAAUCUGCCCUUUGGUUCGGAAUAACAGUUGGAAACGACUGCUAAUACCGGAUGAUGACGAAAGUCCAAAGAUUUAUCGCCAGAGGAUGAGCCCGCGUAGGAUUAGCUAGUUGGUGUGAUAAAGGCGCACCAAGGCGACGAUCCUUAGCUGGUCUGAGAGGAUGAUCAGCCACACUGGGACUGAGACACGGCCCAGACUCCUACGGGAGGCAGCAGUGGGGAAUAUUGGACAACGGGCGAAAGCCUGAUCCAGCAAUGCCGCGUGAGUGAUGAAGGCCUUAGGGUUGUAAAGCUCUUUUACCCGGGAUGAUAAUGACAGUACCGGGAGAAUAAGCUCCGGCUAACUCCGUGCCAGCCGCCGCGGUAA
rnacentral:rRNA from 1 species